AUGACUGCACCCUCGGUCCCGCCUGUGGGGAGCAAAACAGUAGCAGGAAAACCUAAGAUUGAGAGGCGAAAAAUUCCUUGGUUGAGUCUUUGGGAAGAGACUUGGAGAAGGUGGUUGGUGGAAUUGAAGACGUUCCUGAUGUCAUCCUUCACAGAUCCUUGGAGAGCUGUUGGUUGGAGCUGCAGGACUAUCAAAUUGGGUUGUCUCGAUCCAAGGAGCUUAGGAUCCAGAGCAUCUCGUAUCAUCCUUUCCUCUUCCCUUUUCUCCACCCCUCUCUUCUGUCCCGUCUCUCCACCCGUCUCUUCUAUCCUGUCUCUCUACCCCUCUUUUCUGUCCCGUCUCUCCACCCCUCUCUUCUAUCCUGUCUCUCCACCCCUCUCUUCUGUCACGUCUUACCCCCUUCUUAUGAUUUCCUUACUUUACGUCCUCCGGAGUUCAAAUGGAUGGCUUGGAUAGUGGUUGGCUCUAGGACUGGGAGCCAAGAGAAAAACACGUUACAAGACUAAAGAGGAACACCUGACCAUUUGCCAUGAAGCCGAACCAGACGACCCUGCUAGAAUCAAGGGGGUCCUCUGGUGUGUCCUCUGCUGUACGCCAUCGCUCUGGACUUUAACCCAACCCCCCCAAUCUUUUCUCUCUCUGGACCUUGGAAGACACCUUGAAACUAGGGAGUUGGAAGUUCAAAUCUUAUGGGAAGGUGAUCACCUCGGCUUUGAGGAACAUAACCCUUGGACAAAUCAAGGAGAUACUUGAGGACAUAAUCCUUGCCGACUGCCAGACAUUAGUGUGGGUUGGUGUGGCUGGGCAUGUCCUGUUAUCGGGUGGAACUCUGAGCGGAGUGACCCAAUCAAGACCUUGACUGAAACGAGGCCACUCCAUGCAUCCCACGACCACACAUUCAGCUGCAAAGGGUCCUUCAGACCCUUAAUGUGUGGAGAUGUAAGGUGCUGAUGGUGAUGGCUGUGAUGUCAGGACGGAAUAGAUGCUCAUGCAACUAGAGCUUGCAUUGUAACUUUUCACAGAUACAUGUACACACACACACACCACACACAUGUUCUCCACACACGGUUGACACCAAGCAGCAACGUUCUUGAACCACAUUUGACUUAAAAUAUCCCCGUUUGGACAAAAGCGCCAAAUCAAUUUCAAAGCUCCAAAAAGCAUGUGUGUGGUCACUGGGAUAUGAUGUGACCAUAUAAUGUAGUCAAGGUCCCUCAGUAUACGGGGUAUAUAAAGGUCUCUCUGCUGCUCCAGCUAGUUGACCACAUUAGACCACUACACUACCAACACAUAGUCAAAUCCUCAGACGCACAGGUCAUAAAACCCCCAUACGCACACAGCUUACAAACACACAUACAAGCUCCCUACAUACACGUUGGCUGCAAACAAACACACAUACUCAAACGCCAGUCUUUUGAAAGGUGGACUCUGUAUAUACUGUACAAAGUUGUAUCCAUUUCUCCAUUGUGGAUUUUUCUUAACAUGUCUUUUGUUUUUCCUGAUCAACAUGCCUUAACUGUACAGAAUACCAUUGAGUGACACAGAAGUGCUGGUGUCUUUGGAAAGCAAUUUGGAAACUGAAGUCAUGUAGAAGAGUGUUCGUCACGAUCAAUGUUGUGGAAUUCAGGGUUGAGAAGUUUGGUUUGAGCCCAUUGGUUUAGCCGUUCUGUAACCCUGUCAACAACUGAUAAAAGUGUCUGUAUACAAGACCAUUCUCUUAAUUGACAGCGAAGACAAUGGUAAAUAAGAGACAAAAAAAAGAGUGUCUGGUGAUAGUGGUUUGCCUUUCUUUUUUUUUCCUGAAACGAGUGACUUUGUAAAGAUUUCCAGUUUUAAACGCCUCUACAUGUAGCUGAAUUCGCAGGCGGGAGACGUAAGAGGCUGUGCAAUGCAAAGAUGGGCUGGGCUGAGCUGACUGGGAAGGGCUAGCACGCUAAUAUUAGCAUGUUUAAGGUUUCGCCUUGCCACACGCUGACCCUUUAAACACGUUAUUGGAUCCUUUGGGUGUGAAAUUGCUCAGACAAUUGGAUGACUGUCCUCUAUGGUUAGUGCAUUAUGCAGUUUAUUUUUUCUUUCUUUUUUUCUUGCAAUUGUGGAUUCAUUGCCAGUCCUCGUCUGACUAUGUGAAUUGUGGUCUAUGAAGAACACGAAGGCUGCUUUGGGCCCCAGCUGAUGUUACAGGCCGGCUUUCGAUCAUUUGGUGUGCUUGUGUGACAGCCCUGACACUAGGCCACUGAUUGUUAUCCGUUUGGCUGAUUGAGUAGAUGACUCCACUGUUAGCAAAAUAAUUUUUGUACCCAACUUUGUUUUGAUGGUAAAAAAAAUAAGUGCUAUUUCCUUUCCAAUAUUGUUUUUUUUUUCCAAGGUAAUACUUAAUUCAAUACUUGUAAUAACAAUACCAACAACACAAAAGCGUGCCCGAAAAUCUAGUUGCAUAAUGCAGUUUUAAGGGAGUUAGUAGAUGAUGGAUGGGUUUAAUGUUAGUAAGUCUUGGCUGUGUAGUAUGCCAAGAUACAUCUCUUCCAAAGUCUAUUGUUUGUUAUGCAUGAUGCAUAAUUGGAUAGCCCUCCCUAACCAUUGGAUAUAUUUACCAAAAGUUGAUGGAAUACCAGUGAUUGUUUGAACAUGUUAUUUGAGGUGAAAAUAAACUAUUUUGUCUGCAAAAUAAGUGUACGGUG
ensembl:lncRNA